rnacentral:tRNA from 1 species
AGGUAGAUGUGCCGGGGGCGAAGGCAACGGACUGUAAAUCCGUUACAUGAGAAACAGCGCAGGUCCGAAUCCUGCUCCGCUUA